AAAGAGUAUUUGGAGCUUGCAGACUGAU
rnacentral:piRNA from 1 species